AUACUUGCCUGGCAGGGAAGAUACCAUGUGAUCCCGAAUGUGGUUUUCCCUGGGUGAGACUUAUUCAUUGCACUCGGGAUGUGCUGACCCCUGUGAUUUCGCCGAUUGUAGAAAACUUGACUGCAUAAUUUGUGGUAGUGGGAGACUGCGUUCGUGCUCUCCCUUG